rnacentral:tRNA from 1 species
CCGACCUUAGCUCAGUUGGUAGAGCGGAGGACUGUAGAUCCUUAGGUCGCUGGUCCGAAUCCGGCAGGUCAGA